rnacentral:rRNA from 1 species
UACGAAGGGGGCUAGCGUUGUUCGGAAUUACUGGGCGUAAAGGGCGCGUAGGCUGUGCUGUAAGUCAGGCGUGAAAGGCCCGGGCUCAACCUGGGAAUGGCGCAUGAUACUGCGGCGCUGGAAGGCGGGAGAGGAUGGCGGAAUUCCCAGUGUAGAGGUGAAAUUCGUAGAUAUUGGGAAGAACACCAGUGGCGAAGGCGGCUCACUGGCCCGAUACUGACGCUGAGGCACGAAAGCGUGGGGAGCAAACAGG